AAUCUUUUCACCAGCAAAGUAUUAUUUUCAAACUCUAUAGUAAAAUACAUAAAAGAUGUUGAACAAUAUCUAACUGAUGUUUAUGAAACAAGUAUAACCAGUAACUAGGUAUUUUGAUCAUAGUACAAAGUGAUCUGAUCAGAAUGCACUCCACAGCCUGUAACACUAUUCAUUACAUAUCAUUAUCAAUAUAUACAAGGCUCUAUGCUAAUUACUCAUUAAUAACAUGUAGCCUUUCUUUGACAUUUUCAACCCCUGUUAUUGAAGUUCAUGAAGCUAGGUUGAGUCUGCCCACCGAUAUCUUGGGUACUUGUCGUAGACUGAGGCAUGUGUGGCUGCUGUUGUUGAGUAUGGUGAUUACCACAUUGGACAAACGACUGAGGCUGGGGAGGGAAAUGUGGACGCGGCGGCCCCCUGCUUCCAUUUGCAGCUGACAUUUGGCCAGCUGUUAUCUUUAGACGCUGCAGUUCUUCUCGUAAAGCUUCAUUCAGAGCGUCUCUAAGAUGGGCUUGUUGUUCCAAAGCUUGCAACCGUAGUUUGAGUUCUUUGUUCUCAGUAGUCAAUCCACUAUUGUCUCUCUGCAGAACCGUGAUUUGAGCAGACAGGGUAGUAGCUUCACUCUGCAGAGUCUGCACCUUCCUCUCCAGUUCACUAGUAUAACGAAUUUUCCGCUCCUUCGAACGUGCAGCAGAUUGUCUGUUUGCAAGAAUCCUUUUGGCUCUCUUGGGAUCAAUCAAAGCCAACUCAGCAAGCCGAUCAGGCGCCAUAGCUUUCUUAACAGAGCUCU
rnacentral:misc_RNA from 1 species